GGGGAUAUAGCUCAGUGGUGGAGCACUUGCCUAGCAUGCAUGAGGCCUGGGAUUCCAUCCCCA
rnacentral:tRNA from 1 species